rnacentral:lncRNA from 1 species
AUACACUCUCUUUACUUUGCUCUUUAUUUUCCUUUGUUGUUGUUACUGCUUGUUGCGCUCUGUUAGGUUUGUAAAAAUGCAUGCUACUCUAUUGGUUAUUGCUGAACUAUUCUCCUUGUCUUGAUUCUGAUGUGUGGAAUUUGAUCCUUAUCAAUGUUUAUAAGCCUCCUUGUUUUCACUGUUAACUGUUGAGAAAGGUGAUAUUCUUACAUUUCUUGUGUCUCUAUCACUUCAUUUGCCAA